rnacentral:tRNA from 1 species
GGGCCCAUAGCUCAGUUGGUUAGAGCACCUGACUCAUAAUCAGGGGGUCCUAGGUUCGAGCCCUAGUGGGCCCA